rfam:Aedes albopictus isolate Foshan contig64460, whole genome shotgun sequence.
UGCCCAGCAACUCCUAUCCCUACCUCCACGCGGUACCGGCCGGAAACUAUGAGCAACCUUAGGGAAGAUCGGGUAACCAACCCCGGUGGGACCUUUGGUCGUAGGCUGACAGGAAAGG